GAACGUGAAACCGUUAUAGUGGAAGCGGAUGGAGCCGACGUAUUCGUGCGUAUUCAGCCAUUAGGCGGGUGAAUUUGGGUCGUGAAAUUCUGCAAAGUUUUCAUUGCUCAAUUGUUCAUUCGUUUGGUGGUGCACUUGCGUACAUAGUGCGCCGAAUCGUUCGAAUCACGUUGUUUGAAGCAGACGAAGAGGACUCGCUUUCGAGUGAGAAACCUGAGUUUGUGGAUGGCAAAUGUGUUUGAUCGUUAAAUGGGGCUGGUUUUUCGUUGCAUUCGUUGAUAGUUGGAGUGGUUUUUGUUCGACACAUGUGUUUGGCAUUGAUCAUUCUCGUUGUUGGCGGGUGUUUCGCUGCCUCAAUUCGGUGUUCAGUCGGUCACCCAUUUGACCCGUCUUGAAACACGGACCAAGGAGUUUAAGGUGUACGCAAGUCAUUGAAUGUUGAAAAUUCAAAGGCGCAAUGAAAGUGGGACAUUUAGUGUCUGUGAUGUGACGAUGUGGAAUUUCGAUUUCGUGUCAGCAACAUCAACCCAUGACUGGAAUUCAUUCUGUUGUGGAGUUCGAGCGUACGCUUUGAGACCCGAAAGAUGGUGAACUAUGCCUGAACAGGACGAAGUCGAGCGAAAGCUCGAUGGAAGUCCGAAGCGGUUCUGACGUGCAAAUCGAUCGUCUGAUUUGG
rnacentral:rRNA from 1 species